AUCUUGCGCAAUGGGCGAAAGCCUGACGCAGCAACGCCGCGUGGAGGACGAAGGCUUUCUGAGUUGUGAACUCCUUUCAGCAGGGACGAUAGUGACGGUACCUGCAGAAGAAGCACCGGCCAACUACGUGCCAGCAGCCGCGGUGAUACGUAGGGUGCAAGCGUUGUCCGGAUUUAUUGGGCGUAAAGAGCUCGUAGGCGGUUUGGUAAGUCGGGUGUGAAACCUCCAGGCUCAACCUGGAGCCGCCACUCGAUACUGCCAUGACUUGAAUUCGGUAGGGGACCACGGAAUUCCUGGUGUAGCGGUGAAAUGCGCAGAUAUCAGGAGGAACACCAGCAGCGAAGGCGGUGGUCUGGGCCGACAUUGACGCUGAGGAGCGAAAGCGUGGGGAGCGAACA
rnacentral:rRNA from 1 species